AUUGAACGCUGGCGGAAUGCUUUACACAUGCAAGUCGAACGGCAGCACGGACUUCGGUCUGGUGGCGAGUGGCGAACGGGUGAGUAAUGUAUCGGGACGUGCCCAGUCGUGGGGGAUAACGUAGUGAAAAUUACGCUAAUACCGCAUACGAUCUAUGGAUGAAAGCGGGGGAUCGCAAGACCUCGCGCGAUUGGAGCGGCCGAUAUCAGAUUAGGCAGUUGGUGGGGUAAAGGCCCACCAAGCCAACGAUCUGUAGCUGGUCUGAGAGGACGACCAGCCACACUGGAACUGAGACACGGUCCAGACUCCUACGGGAGGCAGCAGUGGGGAAUUUUGGACAAUGGGCGAAAGCCUGAUCCAGCCAUUCCGCGUGCAGGAUGAAGGCCCUCGGGUUGUAAACUGCUUUUGUACAGAACGAAAAGGUUUCUACUAAUACUAGGAGCUCAUGACGGUACUGUAAGAAUAAGCACCGGCUAACUACGUGCCAGCCGCCGCAGUAA
rnacentral:rRNA from 1 species